rnacentral:rRNA from 1 species
UACGUAGGGGGCAAGCGUUGUCCGGAAUCAUUGGGCGUAAAGAGCGUGUAGGCGGCUUGGUAGGUCUCGCGUCAAAACCUGCGGCUCAACCGCAGUUCGCGUGGGAAACCACCUAGCUAGAGUCCGGAAGAGGAGAGUGGAAUUCCCGGUGUAGCGGUGAAAUGCGCAGAUAUCGGGAAGAACACCCGUGGCUAAGGCGGCUCUCUAGUACGGUACUGACGCUGAGACGCGAAAGCGUGGGGAGCGAACAGG